GAUGAAGAACGUAGCGAAAUGCGAUAAGUAAUGCGAAUUGGAGAAUUCCGUGAGUCAUCGAAUCUUUGAACGCACAUUGCGCCCUCUGGUAUUCCGGAGGGCAUGCCUGUCUGAGCGUCAUUGUCAACCCUCAAGCUCAGCUUGCUGUUGGGUCCCCGUCGUUGCUUUAACGGCGGACCCGAAAGGUAAUGGCAGAGUCCGUGAGACCCUAGACGCAGCGAGCUUCUAGCACGCGUCUGGACGUUUUUCGGGCUCGGUCUUAACUAGAUGAUAACUUCCGAUUGACCUCAGAUCAGGUAGGGAUACCCGCUGAACUUAAGCAUAUCAAUAAGCGGAGGA
rnacentral:misc_RNA from 1 species